AUGGAGACGUGCAUGCAAGUGUGAUGUUGUCUCUUUCUCUUUUCUCUUUUCUCUUUUCUUUUUUUUUUUG
rnacentral:ribozyme from 1 species